GCCCUUCGGGGUACUCGAGUGGCGAACGGGUGAGUAACACGUGGGUGAUCUGCCCUGCACUUUGGGAUAAGCCUGGGAAACUGGGUCUAAUACCGAAUAUGACCACGCGCUUCAUGGUGUGUGGUGGAAAGCUUUUGCGGUGUGGGAUGGGCCCGCGGCCUAUCAGCUUGUUGGUGGGGUAAUGGCCUACCAAGGCGACGACGGGUAGCCGGCCUGAGAGGGUGACCGGCCACACUGGGACUGAGAUACGGCCCAGACUCCUACGGGAGGCAGCAGUGGGGAAUAUUGCACAAUGGGCGCAAGCCUGAUGCAGCGACGCCGCGUGAGGGAUGACGGCCUUCGGGUUGUAAACCUCUUUCAAUAGGGACGAAGCGCAAGUGACGGUACCUAUAGAAGAAGGACCGGCCAACUACGUGCCAGCAGCCGCGGUAAUACGUAGGGUCCGAGCGUUGUCCGGAAUUACUGGGCGUAAAGAGCUCGUAGGUGGUUUGUCGCGUUGUUCGUGAAAACUCACAGCUUAACUGUGGGCGUGCGGGCGAUACGGGCAGACUAGAGUACUGCAGGGGAGACUGGAAUUCCUGGUGUAGCGGUGGAAUGCGCAGAUAUCAGGAGGAACACCGGUGGCGAAGGCGGGUCUCUGGGCAGUAACUGACGCUGAGGAGCGAAAGCGUGGGGAGCGAACAGGAUUAGAUACCCUGGUAGUCCACGCCGUAAACGGUGGGUACUAGGUGUGGGUUUCCUUCCUUGGGAUCCGUGCCGUAGCUA
rnacentral:rRNA from 1 species